GAUGUGUAUAGGGCUGCGCAUUCUGGUCAGUGCACCGCUGUGUAACUGGAUGGCUGACCGACAUGGGUUUUUCCCCUCAAAGGGGCGUGGUGAUGGGUCCGUGAUUAGGCCACGCCCCCGAACUGGUUCCUGACCGUUGCUCCAACAUCUGGCUUGCUCCUGCGGUCACCUCACUCUAGUGGAGCUGUAGUGACAGACACUGAAUUUGUUAUGGCUGAAAAGACUGUUGUCCCGUGUUCGCUGUGAUGGUGUCGUCAUCUGAAAAGGCAAGCCAAAUUCUUCUUCACCCCUACAUCACGAGAUAACAUGGAGGACAUGGUGAAGGCCUUGCUACAGGCUACGAAGGCUCAGCAGGAAGCCACCAGGAUGCAUCUGUUACCCAGAGGCAACAGCAAGAAGCCACCAGGCAAAAGCAGGAAGCCACACUAGCUCUGCUGGAAAACACCAGCGUGCAACUAUUGGCCAUCGAGAAAAACCGCAAGAGAAGGCGAUCUAAAGAUAUUUGAUUCUUUAUAUGAUAGUAAUCUUCAAAGUAUUGGGGUACAAAGUGAUAUUCCAGACAUAGAGACAUUUAAAAAGCAGAAUGGAUUGUCCAGGGUGCUGGCCACGGGAAUGAAUUUAAGACUGAGGGCUUGGAACCUAGAAAUUGCCCAUACGCUCCAGGAAGGUUCUCGCCAAAGACUUGAUAAAAGUAUGAUUAAAUGCUUCCAAUGUGGCGAAUUGGGCCAUAUUGCUAAUAAUUUUCCAAUAACCUCUGAACCUAUGCAAUGUGAUUAUGCUUAUGAGAAUCAUGGAACAUCAUUAUACUGCUUAGCAGAACAACAGACUGAGCCAAAGAAAGUAUUAUGUACAAUCACUAUAGAAGGCAAACAGACAUCCGUCACCAUGCCAUCUAGACUCUGGUCUCCUAUACCACACUGCAGCUGCAUAAAUUACUUGGAAUAUGAAGUCGCCAUUGGACAACACUCCUCAAUGUCUAGGAUAUAAAGUUUUGGCAUGGUGUUGCCAUAGCAAUUA